CCUACGGGAGGCAGCAGUGGGGAAUAUUGCACAAUGGGGGAAACCCUGAUGCAGCAACGCCGCGUGAAGGAAGACGGUUUUCGGAUUGUAAACUUCUGUUCUUAGUGAAGAGUAAUGACGGUUACCAAGUAGAAAGCCACGGCUAACCACGUGCCAGCAGCCGCGGUAAUACGGAGGUGGCAAGCGUUGUCCGGAAUUACUGGGUGUAAAGGGCGUGCAGGCGGGAAGCCAAGUCAGCUGUGAAAACUACGGGCUUAACUUGUAGACUGCAUUUGAAACUGGUUUUCUUGAGUGUAGUAGAGGAUAGCGGAAUUCCGGGUGUAGCAGUGAAAUGCGUAGAUAUUCGGAGGAACACCGGUGGCGAAGGCGACCAACUGGGCUUUAACUGACGCUGAGGCUCGAAAGCGUGGGGAGCAAACAGGAUUAGAUACCCUAGUAGUC
rnacentral:rRNA from 1 species